GAUUUUUAUGGUGAUGUAUGCUGACAUAUUUUAGAAUAUUUAGCUCAUGCUUUAAAUAUGAUUAACCCCAUAUUAUUGACCCCUUUGGCUUAACUCUAGGAAUAGAGCUAGUAGACAAAUCCACAUUCCAUAUUAGAAUAGUCUCUGAGGGCUUAUUGAAACAUUCUUUUUAUAUUUUUCCUGCUGUUAAUGACAGGCAACUGGGAGCUCAGAUUUCCAGACACAUCCUCCGUGAAGCAAAACUUCAGAGAAAGACCUACCAUCAACUUAGAUUAUUAAAUCUUUUGGAGAGAUUUAGUGAAGAUGAUGCCAAAGAAAUAUCCUGGACUCACCUCUGGUGAACACAAAUCUACAGCCACAUAAGGAAUGAUGCUCACUGAAAAGAAUCUGAAAGCUAGCUGAACAGCACCUCCACAACAAAGGAUGAAAGGAUCACAUUGAGACAGGUAGGAAGAGCAGAGACAUGGUCUUGCAAGAAAUCUCACCCCAGGCUCUGCAACCCACAGUU
rnacentral:lncRNA from 1 species